AACGUAGGACACAAGCGUUAUCCGGAGUUACUGGGCGUAAGGGCGUUUAGGCGGGUGAUUAAGUUCGCUAUGAAAGCGCCGGGCUAAACUCGGCGAGGCUGGCGGAUACUGGUCAUCUGGAGUGAGUCAGAGGAAGGUAGAAUUCCGCGUGUAGUGGUGAAAUGCGUAGAGAUGCGGAGGAAUACCAGUGGCGAAGGCGGCCUUCUGGGACUCAACUGACGCUGAAGCGCGAAAGCAUGGGGAGCGAACGGG
rnacentral:rRNA from 1 species